GUAGUCUGCCAUACGCAGGAAGACCCGCUGAACUGAAGCAUCUCAUUAAGCGGAGGAAAAGAAACUAACUAGGAUUCCCUUAGUAAAGGCGAUCGAAAAGGGAACAGCCCAACGUCUUAAUCCCGCAAGGGAAAUGUAGUCGGUUCACCUAUUGCACUGGUCUAAGUCAGAUGGAAUGCUGCGCGAUUCAGAGUAAAAGCCUCGUAUGACCAACCGCAAGCUUACGAUGGACCGGGGAGAGUCGGAUACUUUGAGAGUAGUGUCUUAAGGGGGUGGUAUGUCCCAUCCAAGGCUAAAUAACGUGAGGAGACCGAUAGAUUACAAGUAGUGUGAACGAAAGAUGAAAAGAACUCUAAAACAGAGGGUGAAAAGUU
rnacentral:ncRNA from 1 species